CGGCGAGCGAGCGGGAAGAGCUCAAAUUUAUAAUCUGGCACCUUCGGUGUCCGAGUUGUAAUCUCUAGAAAUGUUUUCCGCGUUGGACCGCACACAAGUCUGUUGGAAUACAGCGGCAUAGUGGUGAGACCCCCGUAUAUGGUGCGGACGCCCAGCGCUUUGUGAUACAUUUUCGAAGAGUCGAGUUGUUUGGGAAUGCAGCUCAAAUUGGGUGGUAAAUUCCAUCUAAAGCUAAAUAUUGGCGAGAGACCGAUAGCGAACAAGUACCGUGAGGGAAAGAUGAAAAGCACUUUGGAAAGAGAGUUAACAGUACGUGAAAUUGUUGGAAGGGAAACGCUUGAAGUCAGACUUGCUUGCUGAGCAAUCGGUUUGCAGGCCAGCAUCAGUUUUCCGGGAUGGAUAAUGGUAGAGAGAAGGUAGCAGUUUCGGCUGUGUUAUAGCUCUCUGCUGGAUACAUCUUGGGGGACUGAGGAACGCAGUGUGCCUUUGGCGGGGGUUUCGACCUCUUCACACUUAGGAUGCUGGUGGAAUGGCUUUAAACGACCCGUCUUGA
rnacentral:rRNA from 1 species